GCGCAUGCGCAGUGGCAGUAUCGUAGCCAAUGAGGUUUAUUGGAGGCACGAUUAUUGCUAAUUGAAAGAAA
rnacentral:snRNA from 1 species